rnacentral:miRNA from 1 species
AAAGUGCUUCCAUGUUUUAGUGA